UGCAGUCGACGGUACAGGAACAGCUUGCUGCUUCGCUGACGAGUGGCGGANGGGAGGGUAAUGUCUGGGAAACUGCCUGAUGGAGGGGGAUAACUACUGGAAACGGUAGCUAAUACCGCAUAACGUCGCAAGACCAAAGAGGGGGACCUUCGGGCCUCUUGCCAUCGGAUGUGCCCAGAUGGGAUUAGCUAGUAGGUGGGGUAACGGCUCACCUAGGCGACGAUCCCUAGCUGGUCUGAGAGGAUGACCAGCCACACUGGAACUGAGACACGGUCCAGACUCCUACGGGAGGCAGCAGUGGGGAAUAUUGCACAAUGGGCGCAAGCCUGAUGCANCCAUGCCGCGUGUAUGAAGAAGGCCUUCGGGUUGUAAAGUACUUUCAGCGGGGAGGAAGGGAGUAAAGUUAAUACCUUUGCUCAUUGACGUUACCCGCAGAAGAAGCACCGGCUAACUCCGUGCCANCAGCCGCGGUAAUACGGAGGGUGCAAGCGUUAAUCGGAAUUACUGGGCGUAAAGCGCACGCAGGCGGUUUGUUAAGUCAGAUGUNANAUCCCCGGGCUCANCCUGGGAACUGCAUCUGAUACUGGCAAGCUUGAGUCUCGUANAGGGGGGUAGAAUUCCNNGUGUAGCGGUGAAAUGCGUANAGAUCUGGAGGAAUACCGGUGGCGAA
rnacentral:rRNA from 1 species